AGUGAACGCUGGCGGUAGGCCUAACACAUGCAAGUCGAACGGCAGCACAGUAAGAGCUUGCUCUUACGGGUGGCGAGUGGCGGACGGGUGAGGAAUACAUCGGAAUCUACUUUUUCGUGGGGGAUAACGUAGGGAAACUUACGCUAAUACCGCAUACGACCUACGGGUGAAAGCAGGGGAUCUUCGGACCUUACGCGAUUGAAUGAGCCGAUGUCGGAUUAGCUAGUUGGCGGGGUAAAGGCCCACCAAGGCGACGAUCCGUAGCUGGUCUGAGAGGAUGAUAAGCCACACUGGAACUGAGACACGGUCCAGACGCCUACGGGAGGCAGCAGUGGGGAAUAUUGGACAGUGGGCGCAAGCCUGAUCCAGCCAGACCGCGUGGGUGAAGAAGGCCUUCGGGUUGUAAAGCCCUUUUGUUGGGAAAGAAAAGCAGCAGGUUAAUACCCCGCUGUUCUGACGGUACCCAAAGAAUAAGCACCGGCUAACUUCGUG
rnacentral:rRNA from 1 species